ACAGAUCGUUCAGAGUUUGAUCCUGGCUCAGAGUGAACGCUGGCGGUAGGCCUAACACAUGCAAGUCGAACGGCAGCACAGUAAGAGCUUGCUCUUAUGGGUGGCGAGUGGCGGACGGGUGAGUAACGCGUGGGAAUCUACCCUUUUCUACGGAAUAACGCAGGGAAACUUGUGCUAAUACCGUAUGUGUCCUUCGGGAGAAAGAUUUAUCGGGAAAGGAUGAGCCCGCGUUGGAUUAGCUAGUUGGUGGGGUAAAGGGCUACCAAGGCGACGAUCCAUAGCUGGUCUGAGAGGAUGAUCAGCCACAUUGGGACUGAGACACGGCCCAA
rnacentral:rRNA from 1 species